UCCUUCUUUUCAGCUUGUUUUCCAAAUUAUUGGAUGAAAUGUAUUAAUCUCUUUUUUUGCAUUUAUUUGUUUUCUGUAGGUUUUUUUUUAAUUUUUCUUUGUAAAUUUUGAGACCACAUUAUUCUGUGUGAAGAAUUUUAAAUUAUAUAAUUAUGCAUGUUAGCAUUAGUUGAACUGGAAUUGGACAGUCGAAAAUGGUUGUGACAUUAUCAUGACAUAUCUGAAUGAGCAUGGUGGCCUACCAAUGUUGGCGGACUUCAACUUCUGCUCCCCAUUGCAAAUUAACUUUGCAAACAGAUUUCCUAAUAUGUUAUACAACAUUUUGCUGGAGAGCAAA